UUAAGCGACUAAGCGUACACGGUGGAUGCCCUGGCAGUCAGAGGCGAUGAAGGACGUGCUAAUCUGCGAUAAGCGUCGGUAAGGUGAUAUGAACCGUUAUAACCGGCGAUUUCCGAAUGGGGAAACCCAGUGUGUUUCGACACACUAUCAUUAACUGAAUCCAUAGGUUAAUGAGGCGAACCGGGGGAACUGAAACAUCUAAGUACCCCGAGGAAAAGAAAUCAACCGAGAUUCCCCCAGUAGCGGCGAGCGAACGGGGAGCAGCCCAGAGCCUGAAUCAGUGUGUGUGUUAGUGGAAGCGUCUGGAAAGGCGCGCGAUACAGGGUGACAGCCCCGUACACAAAAAUGCACAUACUGUGAGCUCGAUGAGUAGGGCGGGACACGUGGUAUCCUGUCUGAAUAUGGGGGGACCAUCCUCCAAGGCUAAAUACUCCUGACUGACCGAUAGUGAACCAGUACCGUGAGGGAAAGGCGAAAAGAACCCCGGCGAGGGGAGUGAAAAAGAACCUGAAACCGUGUACGUACAAGCAGUGGGAGCCUCUUUAUGGGGUGACUGCGUACCUUUUGUAUAAUGGGUCAGCGACUUAUAUUCUGUAGCAAGGUUAACCGAAUAGGGGAGCCGAAGGGAAACCGAGUCUUAACUGGGCGUUAAGUUGCAGGGUAUAGACCCGAAACCCGGUGAUCUAGCCAUGGGCAGGUUGAAGGUUGGGUAACACUAACUGGAGGACCGAACCGACUAAUGUUGAAAAAUUAGCGGAUGACUUGUGGCUGGGGGUGAAAGGCCAAUCAAACCGGGAGAUAGCUGGUUCUCCCCGAAAGCUAUUUAGGUAGCGCCUCGUGAAUUCAUCUCCGGGGGUAGAGCACUGUUUCGGCAAGGGGGUCAUCCCGACUUACCAACCCGAUGCAAACUGCGAAUACCGGAGAAUGUUAUCACGGGAGACACACGGCGGGUGCUAACGUCCGUCGUGAAGAGGGAAACAACCCAGACCGCCAGCUAAGGUCCCAAAGUCAUGGUUAAGUGGGAAACGAUGUGGGAAGGCCCAGACAGCCAGGAUGUUGGCUUAGAAGCAGCCAUCAUUUAAAGAAAGCGUAAUAGCUCACUGGUCGAGUCGGCCUGCGCGGAAGAUGUAACGGGGCUAAACCAUGCACCGAAGCUGCGGCAGCGACACUAUGUGUUGUUGGGUAGGGGAGCGUUCUGUAAGCCUGUGAAGGUGUGCUGUGAGGUAUGCUGGAGGUAUCAGAAGUGCGAAUGCUGACAUAAGUAACGAUAAAGCGGGUGAAAAGCCCGCUCGCCGGAAGACCAAGGGUUCCUGUCCAACGUUAAUCGGGGCAGGGUGAGUCGACCCCUAAGGCGAGGCCGAAAGGCGUAGUCGAUGGGAAACAGGUUAAUAUUCCUGUACUUGGUGUUACUGCGAAGGGGGGACGGAGAAGGCUAUGUUGGCCGGGCGACGGUUGUCCCGGUUUAAGCGUGUAGGCUGGUUUUCCAGGCAAAUCCGGAAAAUCAAGGCUGAGGCGUGAUGACGAGGCACUACGGUGCUGAAGCAACAAAUGCCCUGCUUCCAGGAAAAGCCUCUAAGCAUCAGGUAACAUCAAAUCGUACCCCAAACCGACACAGGUGGUCAGGUAGAGAAUACCAAGGCGCUUGAGAGAACUCGGGUGAAGGAACUAGGCAAAAUGGUGCCGUAACUUCGGGAGAAGGCACGCUGAUAUGUAGGUGAAGUCCCUUGCGGAUGGAGCUGAAAUCAGUCGAAGAUACCAGCUGGCUGCAACUGUUUAUUAAAAACACAGCACUGUGCAAACACGAAAGUGGACGUAUACGGUGUGACGCCUGCCCGGUGCCGGAAGGUUAAUUGAUGGGGUUAGCGGUAACGCGAAGCUCUUGAUCGAAGCCCCGGUAAACGGCGGCCGUAACUAUAACGGUCCUAAGGUAGCGAAAUUCCUUGUCGGGUAAGUUCCGACCUGCACGAAUGGCGUAAUGAUGGCCAGGCUGUCUCCACCCGAGACUCAGUGAAAUUGAACUCGCUGUGAAGAUGCAGUGUACCCGCGGCAAGACGGAAAGACCCCGUGAACCUUUACUAUAGCUUGACACUGAACAUUGAGCCUUGAUGUGUAGGAUAGGUGGGAGGCUUUGAAGUGUGGACGCCAGUCUGCAUGGAGCCGACCUUGAAAUACCACCCUUUAAUGUUUGAUGUUCUAACGUUGGCCCCUGAUCGGGGUUGCGGACAGUGUCUGGUGGGUAGUUUGACUGGGGCGGUCUCCUCCUAAAGAGUAACGGAGGAGCACGAAGGUUGGCUAAUCCUGGUCGGACAUCAGGAGGUUAGUGCAAUGGCAUAAGCCAGCUUGACUGCGAGCGUGACGGCGCGAGCAGGUGCGAAAGCAGGUCAUAGUGAUCCGGUGGUUCUGAAUGGAAGGGCCAUCGCUCAACGGAUAAAAGGUACUCCGGGGAUAACAGGCUGAUACCGCCCAAGAGUUCAUAUCGACGGCGGUGUUUGGCACCUCGAUGUCGGCUCAUCACAUCCUGGGGCUGAAGUAGGUCCCAAGGGUAUGGCUGUUCGCCAUUUAAAGUGGUACGCGAGCUGGGUUUAGAACGUCGUGAGACAGUUCGGUCCCUAUCUGCCGUGGGCGCUGGAGAACUGAGGGGGGCUGCUCCUAGUACGAGAGGACCGGAGUGGACGCAUCACUGGUGUUCGGGUUGUCAUGCCAAUGGCACUGCCCGGUAGCUAAAUGCGGAAGAGAUAAGUGCUGAAAGCAUCUAAGCACGAAACUUGCCCCGAGAUGAGUUCUCCCUGACUCCUUGAGAGUCCUGAAGGAACGUUGAAGACGACGACGUUGAUAGGCCGGGUGUGUAAGCGCAGCGAUGCGUUGAGCUAACCGGUACUAAUGAACCGUGAGGCUUAACCUU
rnacentral:rRNA from 2 species